GAUGAAGAACGCAGCGAAAUGCGAUAAGUAGUGUGAAUUGCAGAAUUCAGUGAAUCAUCGAAUCUUUGAACGCACAUUGCGCCCCCUGGUAUUCCGGGGGGCAUGCCUGUUCGAGCGUCAUUUCACCACUCAAGCCUCGCUUGGUAUUGGGCAACGCGGUCCGCCGCGUGCCUCAAAUCGACCGGCUGGGUCUUCUGUCCCCUAAGCGUUGUGGAAACUAUUCGCUAAAGGGUGUUCGGGAGGCUACGCCGUAAAACAACCCCAUUUCUAAGGUUGACCUCGGAUCAGGUAGGGAUACCCGCUGAACUUAAGCAUAUCAUAAGCGGAGGA
rnacentral:misc_RNA from 1 species